AUAAUUAUAUACUGAUUCACCCCUGCUCCUUAUGAUGUUUGUGUAACAUCGUGUUUCUAAUUUUUCUAAUUGCAGAAUAAGAUUGAUCCUAAGGUUAAGAAGGGAAGAAGCAUCUUUAAGAAAGGAGGCAAUUGUUAAGUAGGUUUUGCAGUUAAAAUAUAUUUUAAUUGCUGAUAAAUCAGGAAAGAGAUUAUUGAAAAUGAACAAAAAGACUCACGAAACAAUUCAACUAAUAACAUAUUGGGGGGUUCAAAUAUAAUGGUACAUCAUUAACAACAAGGUUCAAAUGACAAUACAAAUUGACCCACCUUAUCCGCAUCCCCAAUUAUAUACAAGCUUGAUGGAAUACGAAAAUGAUCAUGACAGAAUAUAGAUAAUGUAAGGUGGGUAAGGUAGAUCAGAAAUUUUAUUUAUGUUUUUUUCUUUUCGCGGUGGUAUUACAGCCACAAUCUUGGUAAGGUACAACUUUUUUUAUUUCUAUUCUAGAGUUAUCUAUGCCUUUUGCUCUUUUCUUAAUUGAUUCUGCAAUGCACUUUUUUUUUUAAUAAUUGGGUGUUAAAUUUCUUGGUUCCGUCCAAAUUGCCUCUGGAAGAACAUUCUCUGAGGUUGCCGCAUUUGGGAGAGUUGAGACAGCUGCACUAGGGAUAUUGUUCUGGGGAUUUUUCCCUCUUCUUCGCCGUCUUGAGCUUUUGGCUCUUUUGUUAACUAAUUUUGCAGAUGCAUAUAUUUAUUCACUAUUCUGUGUUAAUUUUAUAGCAGUCAAAUUGUAUUAAGAGGAUGACAUAGUCUUGAUAGACGAGACUCGCAGCGGAGUCAACUCUAAGCUAGAAGAUUGGAGAUAAACGUUAGAGUCUAAAGGAUUCAAGUUGAGUAGGAUCAAAACAGAGUACUUGGAGUGCAGGUUCAGUGGUGUACCUCAGGAGGCUGACGUGGAAGUGAAGCUUGGUACCCAGGUCAUUCAAAAGAAAGGAAGUUUCAAGUAUCUUGGGUCUAUUUUACAAGAAAAUGGGGAUAUUGACGAUGAUGUCACACAUCGUAUUGGUGCAGGAUGGUUGAAAUGGAGGCUCACUUCCGGAGUGCUGUAUGACAAGAAAGUGCCACCAAAACUUAAGGGCAAGUUCUACAAAGUGGUGGUUAGACCGACUCUGUUGUACGGGAUAGAGUGUUGGCCAGUCAAGAACUCUCACGUGCAAAAGAUGAAAGUCGCGGAAAUGAGAAUGCUGCGGUGGAUGUGUGGGCACACUAGGAGAGGUAGGAUCAGGAAUGAGGACAUUAGGGACAAGGUGGGAGUGGCAUCGGUGGAGGACAAGAUGUGGGAAGCGAGGUUGAGAUGAUUUGGGCAUGUGAAGAGGAGAGGCAUAGAUGCCCCAGUGCGGAGGUGUGAGAGGUUGGCUUUGGACGGUUUUAGGAGAGGUAGAGGAAGGCCAAAGAAAUAUUGGGGAGAGGUGAUUAGGCAGGACUUGGCGUUGUUUCAGAUUACCGAGGACAUGACCUUAGAUAGGAAGUUGUGGAGGCUCAGAUUAGGGUAGAAGGCUAGUAGGUAGUCUCGCUUUUCUAUCGCACUAGUAGGCGUAGCUUUGCUCUACUUUUUAUUGCCCUAUGUUUCCCCUGCUUUUAUGUGUUGGGUCUUGUCUCUCCAUGCUAUUUUAUCAUGACUUCUUUGCCCUUGUUUUUUUUCAUUUUCGCAUUGCUUUGAUUUGCCUGUCAGUAUCUGACUUUUGUUUUCUUGUUUACUUUUGAGCCGAGGGUCUUUCGGAAACAACCUCCCUACCAAGGUGGGGGUAAGGUCUGCGUACAUUUAAUCCUCCCCAGACCCCACACUGUGGGAUUCAACUGGGUAUGUUGUUGUUGUUGUUGUUGUUGCUGCAAUGAGAAUAGAGAAAGGCUUAUGUGAACAAAAUUUCCAAAGGGAAUGUGUUUCUAAUGCAUUGUAAGUGUGGUUGAUGGAUUUUGCAUUCGUGCUAGCUUCCACUGGGUUUACAUGAAGCUGUACAAUGGAGAAUACAACAAGUUAUAGUUUAUCUACAAGCAAGCAUCUCCAUGGCUUUUGCAACUGUUGUCACUCUUAAUCCAUUAUCUUUUAAUGAGGUUUGGUCAUGAAAUUUUUGGGUUGAUAUUUUAGGAACAAGCACUACCAAAUUGAAGCCCCUUCACGACCCAAGAAUUGGAUGAACAUUAACUCAAGGCAGAGAAGGAGCCUAUAAACCCUUCGAUACAGACUACUGCUUUAUCAGAGUGGAGCGUACUAUGGAGUCAUAUAUCUUUGGUUCUAUGCCACCUUCUUUUGGUAGACAUUAUGGUGAGUUUCAUUUUCUUUUGUAUUUCAAAAGACGUAGACUCAUUCACUUCUUUGUGGUUGUAUAUAUUUUGCCUUCACAAUGUCGAAUACAUUGUAAUUGCAAAGUUUCAUGAAAUGGACUUUGCCACCUCC